rnacentral:rRNA from 1 species
UAGGGAAUCUUCCGCAAUGGGCGAAAGCCUGACGGAGCAACGCCGCGUGAGUGAAGAAGGUCUUCGGAUCGUAAAACUCUGUUAUUAGGGAAGAACAAAUGUGUAAGUAACUAUGCACGUCUUGACGGUACCUAAUCAGAAAGCCACGGCUAACUACGUGCCAGCAGCCGCGGUAAUACGUAGGUGGCAAGCGUUAUCCGGAAUUAUUGGGCGUAAAGCGCGCGUAGGCGGUUUUUUAAGUCUGAUGUGAAAGCCCACGGCUCAACCGUGGAGGGUCAUUGGAAACUGGAAAACUUGAGUGCAGACGAUGAAAGUGGAAUUCCAUGUGUAGCGGUGAAAUGCGCAGAGAUAUGGAGGAACACCAGUGGCGAAGGCGACUUUCUGGUCUGUAACUGACGCUGAUGUGCGAAAGCGUGGGGAUCAAACAGG